UCCCUGGUGGUCUAGUGGUUAGGAUUUGGUGCUUUCACCGCCAUGGCCCGGGUUCAAUUCCUGCUCAGGGAG